UUAAAUUGAAGAGUUUGAUCAUGGCUCAGAUUGAACGCUGGCGGCAGGCCUAACACAUGCAAGUCGAACGGUAACAGGAAGCAGCUUGCUGCUUUGCUGACGAGUGGCGGACGGGUGAGUAAUGUCUGGGAAACUGCCUGAUGGAGGGGGAUAACUACUGGAAACGGUAGCUAAUACCGCAUAACGUCGCAAGACCAAAGAGGGGGACCUUCGGGCCUCUUGCCAUCGGAUGUGCCCAGAUGGGAUUAGCUAGUAGGUGGGGUAACGGCUCACCUAGGCGACGAUCCCUAGCUGGUCUGAGAGGAUGACCAGCCACACUGGAACUGAGACACGGUCCAGACUCCUACGGGAGGCAGCAGUGGGGAAUAUUGCACAAUGGGCGCAAGCCUGAUGCAGCCAUGCCGCGUGUAUGAAGAAGGCCUUCGGGUUGUAAAGUACUUUCAGCGGGGAGGAAGGCGAUAAGGUUAAUAACCUUGUCGAUUGACGUUACCCGCAGAAGAAGCACCGGCUAACUCCGUGCCAGCAGCCGCGGUAAUACGGAGGGUGCAAGCGUUAAUCGGAAUUACUGGGCGUAAAGCGCACGCAGGCGGUCUGUCAAGUCGGAUGUGAAAUCCCCGGGCUCAACCUGGGAACUGCAUUCGAAACUGGCAGGCUAGAGUCUUGUAGAGGGGGGUAGAAUUCCAGGUGUAGCGGUGAAAUGCGUAGAGAUCUGGAGGAAUACCGGUGGCGAAGGCGGCCCCCUGGACAAAGACUGACGCUCAGGUGCGAAAGCGUGGGGAGCAAACAGGAUUAGAUACCCUGGUAGUCCACGCCGUAAACGAUGUCGACUUGGAGGUUGUGCCCUUGAGGCGUGGCUUCCGGAGCUAACGCGUUAAGUCGACCGCCUGGGGAGUACGGCCGCAAGGUUAAAACUCAAAUGAAUUGACGGGGGCCCGCACAAGCGGUGGAGCAUGUGGUUUAAUUCGAUGCAACGCGAAGAACCUUACCUACUCUUGACAUCCAGAGAACUUUCCAGAGAUGGAUUGGUGCCUUCGGGAACUCUGAGACAGGUGCUGCAUGGCUGUCGUCAGCUCGUGUUGUGAAAUGUUGGGUUAAGUCCCGCAACGAGCGCAACCCUUAUCCUUUGUUGCCAGCGGUUAGGCCGGGAACUCAAAGGAGACUGCCAGUGAUAAACUGGAGGAAGGUGGGGAUGACGUCAAGUCAUCAUGGCCCUUACGAGUAGGGCUACACACGUGCUACAAUGGCGCAUACAAAGAGAAGCGACCUCGCGAGAGCAAGCGGACCUCAUAAAGUGCGUCGUAGUCCGGAUUGGAGUCUGCAACUCGACUCCAUGAAGUCGGAAUCGCUAGUAAUCGUGGAUCAGAAUGCCACGGUGAAUACGUUCCCGGGCCUUGUACACACCGCCCGUCACACCAUGGGAGUGGGUUGCAAAAGAAGUAGGUAGCUUAACCUUCGGGAGGGCGCUUACCACUUUGUGAUUCAUGACUGGGGUGAAGUCGUAACAAGGUAACCGUAGGGGAACCUGCGGUUGGAUCACCUCCUUACCUUAAAGAA
rnacentral:rRNA from 7 species